GCGAACGCUGGCGGCAGGCUUAACACAUGCAAGUCGAGCGCCCCGCAAGGGGAGCGGCAGACGGGAGAGUAACACGUGGGCACAUACCUUUUGGUUCGGAACAACUGAGGGAAACUUCAGCUAAUACCGGAUAAGCCCUUACGGGGAAAGAUUUAUCGCCGAAAGAUUGGCCCGCGUCUGAUUAGCUAGUUGGUGAGGUAACGGCUCACCAAGGCGACGAUCAGUAGCUGGACUGAGAGGAUGAUCAGCCUCACUGGGACUGAGACACGGCCCAGACUCCUACGGGAGGCAGCAGUGGGGAAUAUUGGACAAUGGGGGCAACCCUGAUCCAGCCAUGCCGCGUGAGUGAUGAAGGCCUUAGGGUUGUAAAGCUCUUUUGCCCGGGAAGAUAAUGACGGUACCGGGAGAAUAAGCCCCGGCUAACUUCGUG
rnacentral:rRNA from 1 species